UACACCCCAACUGCCCAACUUCCUAAGCCCCAACCUAGUAUCCGUUCCUUUUCCCUAAUUUCCUUAGUCCUUUCCCUUAUUUUUCUAACCUUAGGUUUCUCUCAAAAAGCAACAAACCAACAUCGGCAAAUCUACAAUUCAUGACUACAGACUACCGACUGUGCGAGUGCAUGUGAACUUCGGGAGUGAGUGUUUUCUUUCUCCGAUCUGCUCCCAGACGAUUCCAGGUUAACAAACCAUUUCAGAUUUUCUCCAAUGUACUUAGCUUUUCAGAUUUUCUCCGAUAAAGUUGUCUUUUUUAUGUAGUACGUUAAUUCAUUAUAUAGUAAUUCAUCCUUAAUUAAAACACAAAAAUUAAGUUGUUAGAAUCCGACGAUUAGUUUUCAUGCAUAUAUAUUUUUUUUUCAUUUCCUUUUUUCUGCUAUGUUUGGGCUUAUCAUCAACCAAUGGUAGCUUAAGUUCUUCUUCAUUGACUUCAAUCUAUAUGAUAUUUUAGAUGGUACAAAGUAAUAUUGUUAGUAAAAAUAUACCUUAGGAUAAGAUUACAGCUGUGUUUUUAAUUAGAUUUUUGAUAUUUUAACUGCACUUUUUUGUGAAAGAGAAGAAUAUGUGAACUGAAGUUCUCAAAUGAGAGAACUAUUCAUAAUUAAAUGUUAAACAAAGUUAUAGUCUUACUAUUGAUAAAUUUCUUUGUUUCUCACCCACUCUUUCAUAGUUCACCAGUACUUUACUUGUUAAACUAAAGUUGUGUUUAGUUUUGUUUUCUUGUUACAACUGCGUAUAAUUCUCUUGCUGACCUAACAUACCGAUUCAUUAAGUUACCAAAUGAUGCAAGAAAAAAACCUAUUAAAUUAUUAUGCUAAUAUAAUAAUAAUUACUUCAAUUUGGAAAUGUGUUGAUGGUUUACAAAGUUUAAAGUAGUUUAAAAGUUUGUACUGGUAUUAAACUGCUCAAUUUGUGUUUGUAUCUAUUAUAAUUUUGUAUAGAUGGCGGAUGAAAGUAGAGUAAGUGAUGAUGGUUCAACUGAAAGCUUACCUUUUUCUUAAGAUAGAAAUGCCAACACAAGUGAUACUCAAGAUUCUAAGAAAAGAAGAGCAUAGAAACUAGAUUCAUUGUUUGGAAUCAUUUUGACAAAUUUGAGGAAAAUGCGAUUAGUAAAACGAGGUGUAGAUAUUGCAAGUAAUCUUAUGCUGAUAAUUUAUCUAGGAAUGCAACAACAAGAUUGAGAAAGUAUUUGACUAGAUGUAAAGAAUACCGACCUAACAUUGAUAAAGAUAAUACUCAUGUCACGACCCAAAACCAACCGUCGUGACGGCGCCUAUCGUGGAACUAGGCAAGUCAACUACUUAACCAUUUCAACAUAACAAAAGCUUUGAAAAAUACGGAAGCAGUUAAUAUUUAUGGAAAACGUUAUAAAAGCAGAAUAAAACUCGCAACUCAAUACAAAAUCUCUCCCAAAAUUGGGAUGUCACCGAGUACAUGAGCAUCUAUACAGGGAUAUAGUCUACUACAUCAUCUAAGGAAUAAGAACUAAAAUAUAAGUAAAGAUAAUGAAGGAGAGUCAAGGUCUGCGAAUGCCAUGCAGCUACCUCGAUAGUCUCCAAAGAUCCUGACUCCACACUCACCAGCCGCCGUGACCGGAAGCACCUGGAUCUGCAUACGAGGUGUAUGGUGUAGCGUGAGUACAACCAACUCAAUAAGUAAUAAAUCCAACCUCUGGACUAAAAGUAGUGACGAACGCAACUGGUACAGUUCAAUGUAGAAAUAACAUUGUAGGAACGUAGGCAUGAUUUCAAGUUCAACAGUUAAACUCAAUAUAGUUAGAUAGAUCAAAUCUGAAUAGAUGAAGAAUAUAACUCCUCUACUUUAACAUGCCGAUGCACAUGUUGUAUGUGAUGCACCAUGCUGACAGCCUCAUAUGCUCACACUCUCAAAUGUUCAAUCACUCAGUACUGUAUAUGACCAAUCUGGCCCAAGGAAGAUCCAUCCCGGAAUAUAUACAUCAACUGACCAUCAGUCACUCAGUACUGAGUAGGGCCAAUCCAACCCGUGGGGAACAUCCAUCCCUAGGUAUAUAAAUCCUUCGGACAAGAUCCAUGUCCAAGGAAGAUCCAUCCCUCAAUAUAAUCAAACGCUCUUAGUGGGGGGGGGGGGUGUGCAGACUCCGGAGGAGCUCCUUCAGCCCAAGCGUUAUCAUAAAUCAGUAAAACCGUUGUAGCGUGUAGCGCGAUCCCAUAAAUGUCACUCAUAAUCAGGCCCUCGGCCCCACUCAGUCAUCAAUCUCUCAAGUCUCUCUCACGAGCUCACAGUAUCAUGAAAACUAGCCGGAACAUGAUGAUGUAAUAUAUCAAUAAAUAACAACAGAGUUUGAGAUAUGAUAUGAAAUGAAUGAAUAUGACUGCGUACGAAAUAUCAAUGAAAUCUGUAAGUCAACAGCAAGAAAUGACCACUAUGGGUCCCAGCAGUACCAGCAUAUAGCCUAAACAUGAUCCCUAACAUGAUUGACAACUCAAUUACUUUAUCACAUGAUGAAAAUACGGAUAUCAACAAGAUAGAACCACUGCACAGUGCCAUGGAAUCGACCAGGUCACAAUUCUCACAGUACACGCUCGCAUGUCAGUCACUUGGCAUGUGCAUCACCUCAACACCAAUCACAUAACACAUAAUUCGGGGUUUCGAACCCUCAGAGCCAAGUUUAGAAGUAUUACUUACCUCAAUCCGAGAAAAACUCUACUCCAACACAUAUUUGCCUCCCAAAUCGGCCUCCAAAUGUCCUGAAUCUAGCCACAAGUAGUACAAUAAAAUUAAUACAGGCUAAAGGAAUCAAUUUUACAAGAAAAUACGAAGCUAUUAAUCAAAAAUCCGAAAUUGACUCAAAGCCGGCCCCCGGGACCACGUCUCGAAAUCUAACAAAAGUCACAAAACUAGAAAGCCCAUUCAACCACGAGUCUAAUCAUACCAAAUUUAUCAAAAUCCAACAUCAAAUCGCCACUCAAAUCCUCAAAUCAAACUCUCUGUCACGACCCCAAACUCAACCCGUCGUGAUGGCGCCUAACAUAGCACUAGGCCAGCCUCAAACCAACGCAAUCCAAUACCACAGUGUAAAUAUUAAAAAUCAUUUGCGGAAAACUUUCAUCAUUUUUAAAGCAAAUCGUUUAAGACAUAAAGGAAAGAUUUAUAUUACGAUACAAUCGUCCCAAAACCACGGUGUCAAUGAGAUCAUGAGCGUCUAAGGUAAAUACAUAAUCUAUCAAAGUGUCUAAGAACCAACAAAAAAUACAACUGAAAAUGAGAAGGAGAGCCAAGGUAUGCGAACACCAUGCAGAUACCUCAACAACUCUACAACCUGCGACCUCGAUCAACGGCUGCUACUGGGGCCAUAGAUACCUGGAUAUGCACACAGGGUACAGGGGGUAACGUGAGUACACCAACUCAGUAAGUAACAAGCCCAAACUAUGGACUGAGAAGUAGUGACGAAUUCAACCUCUUCAUAAGAUAAACAUGAAUAUCGUAUAGAAAAGUAGACAUGCUUUUAGUUAAUUAAACAGCUCAUAGCAGUGAAAUAAAACAAGUAUGAACAUGAUAAAGGAGUAUAACUCUGCUACAUCUACAUGCCAAUGCACGUGUUGUAUGAAAUGCACUAGGCCAAGUACCUUAUGUUCCCAAUAACUCAAUGCUCGUCCACUCAGUACUGUAUAUGGCUCAUACGGCCCAGGGAAGAUCCAUCCCAUAUAUAUAUACAUCUUUGACAGCAGUCACUCAGUACUGAGGAAGGCCAAUCCAGCCUACGGAGAAGAUCCAUCUCCUGGUAAUAAUAAUGACAACCUCACAACCACUCGGUACCGUAUAUGUCUCACAAGGCCCAGUGAAGAUCCAUCUCAGAAUAUAUAUAUACAUCAUAGAAUAUUAGUCUCCAACACCGAGGAACAUGCCAAUCCAGCCUCAUGGAGAAGAUCUAUCUCCAUACCAAUACUUCGAACAAGAUCCAUGUCCAGGGAAGAUCCAUCCCUCAAUAUCUUCAACUGUGCUCAUUGGGGGUGUAAAGACUCCGGAGGGGCUUCUCUGAGCCCAAGUGCUAUAUCAAUGCUAGAGAAGGCAUGAUCAAUAUCUCUCUGCGGCGUGCAGCCCGAUCCUAUACUGUCAAUCAAUAUCAGGCUCUCAGCCUCACUCAGUCAAUACUUAGCAUGAUUUGAUAAGUAUAGGAUAGCUAUGGGAUAUGUUGGCAUGUUUGGUUGGAGUCCUAAGGGCCUCGAGUGAGUUUCGGGUGGUUAAACGGAUUAAAUUUAUGUUUGAAAAGUUGCAGAUUUUCCUUCAGGUCUGUUAUAGAUAUUUGUUCAUUGCGAUCGCGUAGAAGGGUCCGCAAUCGCAUAGGCUUUGUGGGGCAGAGAUAGAAUUUGUUCAGUGCGAUCAUGAGGGUCAGUAUGCGAUCGCAUUUGGUUGAGAGAUUGUUGUUCGCGAAUGCGUGGUCAGUGUCGCGUUCGCGUAGAAGGACGGAGCUGGUAAGGAGUAGGCAGGUUGUUCUAUGCGAUCGUGUGGGAGAGGCCGCGAUCGCGUAGGUUUGUGAAGCAGUGCUUCGCGUUCGCGUAAAGUUAAUUCUGAGUCAGCAAAGUUUGUGCUUCGCGAUCGCGAUAGUGAUCGCGAUAGUCUUCCCGCGAUCGCAAUUAAGGAAUUUAAAUCGCUGGGUAGGAUGUUUAAAAAACCAUUUUCGCAAUUUUUGGCCAUAGUUCACCAUUUUUGAGUCGGUUUUGGAGCUUCUUGGGGGAGAUUGAAGGGGGAAUUCAAGAGAACUUCUUUGAGGUAAGAUUUUUGAACCUAAAACUCGAUCCUAUGUUGAUUCUUACUUGUUUAAACAUAAAAUUAGUGAGUUUUGAAGCCUAAAAUUAGAGAGUUAGGGCUUGAAAUUGGAGACUUUGAUUUGAGGAUUUAAGGGGUCAUUUGUGGUCGGAUUUUGGUGUAUUUGGUAUGUAUGAACUCGUGAGAGUGUGGGGAUUCUAGUUUUGUAACUUUUAUCGAAAUCCGAGACGUGGGCUCAGGGGUCGGGUUUGACCAAUUUCGGAAUUUAUGAUGUAAUUUGAUUAUUUUCGCGUGGGCUUUGCUCCCAUAGCAUAUAUUGAUGUUAUGGUUCUGAUUUUUGUUAGAUUCGGGGCAUUUGGAGGCCGAAUCAAGAGGAAAAGGCGUCGCGGGCUAGAGUUUGGCUUGACUUGGGUAAGUAACGCUUCCAAACUUAGUUUUGAGGGUUCGAAACCCCGAACUGUGUGUUCUAUGAUUACUAUUAAGGUGACGCAAUGCCAAAUGAUGGGCGUGUGGGCGUGCACCGUGAGAAAUGCGGUCUGGAUCAUUCUAUGGCACCGCUUAGUGACUCUUUUAUGCUGAUAUCUGUGUUGUAAUUAUGUGAUUAAGAUAAUGAACUGCAAAUCAUGCUAAUUAUCAUAUUAAGGCUUCACGCCAACACUGUUGAGACCCGAGAGGUCGUUUCUUGCUG
rnacentral:lncRNA from 1 species